rnacentral:rRNA from 1 species
AUGCUUCCUGUUCUUCUGCUGCUUCUCUUAUCACAGCCCGCAUCGAGUUCAUCUGUCCAGGCAACAACAAGGACAUUCAGAAACAGGACUGACGGGGAUGCCUUGCUGGAACUGAAGGCAAGCCUAAACAAUCACCAGGGACAGGGAGUCCUAGAUGCAUGGAACACAACUAGUGACUUCUGCCGGUGGCCUGGUGUCAGUUGCAGCCUUAAGCAUAAGGACAGGGUAACGGUCCUUAAUCUCUCCUCAGAGGGCCUUGCAGGCACAAUCACACCUUCCAUUGGGAACCUCACGUUCCUGAAAGUUCUAAACCUCAGCCGGAACAGUUUGGGCGGUGAGAUACCUUCAUCGACUGGUCGCCUGUCUCGGUUACGAUAUCUUGACUUGUCCAAGAACUCACUUCAUGGCGCCAUGCACCCGACUUGA